rnacentral:rRNA from 1 species
UUCACGGUAUUGCAAUGAGAACAAUUUAAAACCCUUAGCGAGAAUCAAGUGGAGGACAAGUCUGGUGCCAGCACCCGCGGUAAUUCCAGCUCCACUAGCGUAUAUUAAAGUUGUUGCAGUUAAAAAGCUCGUAGUUGAACCUCUGUCUGGGGCUAGUUUUGGCUUUGGUCAGGCUAGUUCUAGGCAUCCGCCUACAAGACUUAGAGGGCAUUCAGUUGUUCACUAGGAGGAGUAGGCAUUUUACUUUGAAAAAAAUUAGAGUGUUUAAGGCAGGCAAUCGCCCGCAUAUAUUAGCAUGGAAUAAUAGAAUAGGACACUUUUCCAUUUCGUUGGUUAUUGGAAUCGUGUAAUGAUUAAUAGGGACAGUUGUGGGCAUUUGUAUUUAAUUGUCAGAGGUGAAAUUCUUGGAUUUAUUAAAGACAAACUAACGCGAAAGCAUUUGCCAAGGAUGUUUUCAUUAAUCAAGAACGAAAGUUAGGGGAUCAAAGACGAUCAGAUACCGUCCUAGUCUUAACUAUAAACUAUUCCGACUCAAUGUUUGACUGGCUUAUAUAACCAGUUGAGCGUUGUAUGAGAAAUCAAAGUCUUUAGGUUCUGGGGGGAGUAUGGUUGCAAAGCUGAAACUUAAAGGAAUUGACGGAAGAGCACAACCAGGAGUGGAUUCUGCGGCUUAAUUUGACUCAACACGGGGAAACUUACCAGGUUAAAACAAUAGUAGGAUUGACAGUUUGAGAGCGCUUUCUUGAUUGGUUGGGUGGUGGUGCAUGGCCGUUCUUAGUUGGUGGAGUGAUUUGUCUGCUUAAUUGCGUUAACGAACGAGACCUUAACCUGCUUACUAGACUGGCGAUCAUCAAUCGUUAGCUCUUCUUAGAGGGACUUUGGUUGUUUUAACUCCAAGGAAGUUUGAGGCAAUAACAGGUCUGUGAUGCCCUUAGAUAUCCUGGGCCGCACGCGUCAUACAAUGACUAGUUCAGAAAGUUUUCUCCUGACCCGAAAGGGGAUGGGUAAUCUUGAUAAUACUAGUCGUGUUAGGGAUCGAUCUUUGCAAUUAUAGAUCUUGAACGAGGAAUUCCUAGUAAGUGCGGUUCAUCAGACCGUACUGAUUACGUCCCUGCUCUUUGUACACACCGCCCGUCGCUUCUACCGAGUGGGUGGUCCGGUGAGAUAAUUGAACUUCGCAGGUAACUGAGAGGAAAGAUUAUCAAACCUAUCCACCUCGAGGAUGAAGAAGUCGUAACAAGG